AGAAUGGUGGCAAAUAUGACUUUGAUUGAAAUGCCAAGUUCAUCAAAACUGUAAUUUCCUAAUCACUAAUUUUGUUGUUGUAAGUUUUAUUUUAGUAUUGGUAUAAGAGCGCAUCGUAAGGUAGCUUUGCAACCCUUUAUCUUUGGCAAAUAUUUUGUGUUUACCUUUUUUUUUUUUAAAUUUAAACUUAAAACUUCUUUUAUGUUUUAUGUUUCCUAUUUAUUUGCAGCCAAUAAUCUCGUGAUGCAUUGUUCAUUAUGUAAAAAUUGAAAACAAUCUAAAUAUUCAACAGUGAAGGAUUUUCAGAGCUAAAUAUCCUUCAUCUUUGUGUAGGGAGAUGAAGAAGUCAAGAAAACUAAUAGAGAUUAUUCUGUAAAGGAGAACAGCUGCAAAGGUAGAGAUAGGUAGUAGCUGUAAGAGGAAGGUCUAGCAAGUACUUUUUAAAAUAAGUAAAUAUGUAGUAGAAAUGGCAAAAAGGUGGAAAAACAAAACUAAAUAUAACAAUUAUUUAAAAAUUCAUCAUGUUAAUUAUGUAAGGAAAUUAAAAAGCUUUGGUGGACUGGGUAGAACCUCUUCUCUCUCUUUUUUACUUCAAUUAUUUAAAAACAUCACCACUAGUCUCUCUUUUUCUCACUUGCUCUCUCUCCCCUCCCCUCACCUCCUUUGCAGCAACCCACUGCUAUCUUUGUCCUCACUUGGUUCAGUAUUCCUGGAAUAUGUAACUGCAUGACAGGAUGAAGAUCAACAACUAAAUACUAUUUAGCAUUGAUGGUUCAGGACCGUGGACAGCACUCAUGUUGGGAAUGGGGCUUGCUGAAAUUGCAGUGACUUUGUAAGUUUGGUCUAUCACAGAAUAAAUUUGUUGGCGUGGCUACAAAUGGAUAAGGUGCUCACCAGAAUAUUAAAACUCAUGGCUGAAUUAAUUUUUUUUCUUCCCUUCAUGGAGGGGAGGAAAAAAAAACAUUAACGCAAAGAAAGGCUGGCACAUAAUAGCACUCAAAUACCUUAACUGAAAUGAACUUUUCACCUUAAUGAUAAAGAGUGGCUCAACAUGUAGGUGUAUUUGAUGGCUCUUUUAAAGUGAUCAUUCCAAAUCAAUAACAGAAAAGGAAAUUUGUGUAUUUUUUUUUACUGUGCUGUCCAUGGUGUCAAUGAAAAUAAGGUUGUUAAAAGUUGAACUAAAAAAUGAGAACUGAGUUGAGAUUCAGUCACUAACACAGGAUAAUGCAAAUUCGUUUUAGACGUAAAAUUAAAAACAUCAUUAUUUUUAUGACAAAAUUUUAAAAUCCUUUCAUGACUUUGUCCAACAAUUUAAAUGACCCCAUCAUCCAUCCUCUGACACAAGUAACUUAAGUGAAAGGUUACUUGAAACUUCACCAAUGGAACCCUGAAAAUUUAAUGAUAUACCUUUCUGGCAGCAUUCUUUCAUCUUUGUCACCUUGAUACAGUUCCUAAACAGAAAACAAACUAAUGCUACUCAAAUCUACAUGUUUACAUAAACUCACAUUUCAUGUGUCAUCUGUUCUGAAGAGUCUUUUUCUAAAAUUAGUCCCUACAGGUCUUGAAGUGUGUGACUCUCAUUUUGACACACAAUCAUACAAUGGCUCCAACUUUUGCUGCCUGACUCAUAUGUCCUCUGAAAGACAAACAUUGAGAGCUAUUUCAAGUAGUUCAUUUACUUUUCUGUUACACAUCAUUACACCUAAAAGGGCUGCCACACAAAUAUUGAACACUUACAAAUCAUCGUUUUUCUGGAAUACAAGAGUGUAUCUCUUUGCUUCUUGGCACAUGUAUCUCUGGAGUAUGACAGUACAAUCAGUGAACUCAUCCUUUAAAUUGAUGAGAUGUUAUUAUCAUUCCUCUUAGUUUUACCUCAACUGGGAAAUGUUCACAUAACCAUUUAGAUGUGUUGCCUUAGAUCAGCAUUUAUCCAACUUUUCCCCCAAGGCAUCCACCUCUGCUGGCAAAAGUGCAGGAAGCAGGAUCUAGGAACAUUAUUCCAAGUUGUAGAUGGCAAAUAGAACAUUUCUUUGAACUCUCAUGCUUUACUUUAAAAUACAUUAGAAUUAAUUUUGUACUCUAUUCUAUAAUUCAUUCAUUCAACAAAUAUUAGGGGCCUACUGCAUGCCAGGCAUUAUUACAGGGAUACAGUAGUGAAUAAAUAUAUUUGUGUUUGUUUUUAACCUAGUAAUAUUUUAAUACAACUGGCACAAAUAGAAAAACAAAAACUUUGCCAAAGCAAAGAGCAAAACUGAUAAUCCAAGAUGGAACAAUUAUUGCUUCAAAUACUACUAGUCAUGCUAUUGCAACCUGAGAGUAUAUUUGCACCCAUUUGAGCAGCAUAGUCUUGGGCUAAUUCCCAGAAUACAAAGCCAAUGGUAAAUAUUUACUCUAGAUGAAAAUAUCUGAGUUAUUAGAACUAACAAGGUUGUCUUCAUUUUACCAUUAGAUUCUGCCUUUAGGUUCUGAAAUGGCAAAGGUAGACAUCCACUUUAAUACCUGGAGAAAUAUAUAAAGCUAAUUCUUAAAAAUCACAUGAAGGGGAUGGGGCGUGGGGUAUCAUUCUUGACACUUCAAAGUUAAGUCUUGAUUUCAGCACCACAUUGCUAACAAUUGCUUUUUUUUUUUUUUUUUUUUUUUUUAAACCUUAAUUGAGCAGCUUCUUCCAGGUUCUUAUGUAUCUGCUGAUCAGCUUCAAAAAUAUGGGAAAAGCAAAAUCUUACAUAGGACAAACUUUUGGAUUUCUCCCUGCAUUGAAAUGCUGAACAUUCCUGUUGUUAUUCCAUUCUAUUGGUCUGGGAUCAAGGUUGACGUGAAGAUUCCUUGAAAAGUAUUAAACUCCUCAAUGACGAUGUACGACCACCAAAAUUCAAACUCCUUCAGACUGGUUAAUUAGAGAAAAG